rnacentral:rRNA from 1 species
UACAGAGGUCCCAAGCGUUGUUCGGAUUUACUGGGCGUAAAGGGUGCGUAGGCGGUCGGGUAAGUUUGAUGUGAAAUCUCCAAGCCUAACUUGGAAAAUGCAUUGAAUACUGCUUGGCUAGAGUAUUGAAGAGGAGAUUGGAAUUCUCGGUGUAGCAGUGAAAUGCGUAGAUAUCGAGAGGAACACCAGUGGCGAAGGCGAAUCUCUGGGCAAUAACUGACGCUGAGGCACGAAAGCUAGGGGAGCAAACAGG